rnacentral:rRNA from 1 species
AUUGAACGCUGGCGGCAUGCUUUACACAUGCAAGUCGAACGGUAACAGGGAGCUUGCUCCGCUGACGAGUGGCGAACGGGUGAGUAAUGCGUCGGAACGUGCCGAGUAGUGGGGGAUAACGCAGCGAAAGUUGUGCUAAUACCGCAUACGUACUGAGGUAGAAAGUGGGGGACCUUCGGGCCUCACGCUAUUCGAGCGGCCGACGUCUGAUUAGCUAGUAGGUGAGGUAGAGGCUCACCUAGGCGACGAUCAGUAGCGGGUCUGAGAGGAUGAUCCGCCACACUGGGACGGAGACACGGCCCAGACUCCUACGGGAGGCAGCAGUGGGGAAUUUUGGACAAUGGGCGAAAGCCUGAGCCAGCCAUGCCGCGUGUCUGAAGAAGGCCUUCGGGUUGUAAAGGACUUUUGUCGGGGAGGAAAUCCCCAGCGCUAAUACCGCUGGGGGAUGACAGUACCUGAAGAAUAAGCACCGGCUAACUACGUGCCAGCCGCCGCGGUAAGAC